rnacentral:rRNA from 1 species
UCUGACUUCGGGGACGAUAACGGCGUCGAGCGGCGGACGGGUGAGUAAUGCCUGGGAAAUUGCCCUGAUGUGGGGGAUAACCAUUGGAAACGAUGGCUAAUACCGCAUAAUAGCUUCGGCUCAAAGAGGGGGACCUUCGGGCCUCUCGCGUCAGGAUAUGCCCAGGUGGGAUUAGCUAGUUGGUGAGGUAAUGGCUCACCAAGGCGACGAUCCCUAGCUGGUCUGAGAGGAUGAUCAGCCACACUGGAACUGAGACACGGUCCAGACUCCUACGGGAGGCAGCAGUGGGGAAUAUUGCACAAUGGGCGCAAGCCUGAUGCAGCCAUGCCGCGUGUAUGAAGAAGGCCUUCGGGUUGUAAAGUACUUUCAGCAGUGAGGAAGGUGGAUGUGUUAAUAGCGCAUUCAUUUGACGUUAGCUGCAGAAGAAGCACCGGCUAACUCCGUGCCAGCAGCCGCGGUAAUACGGAGGGUGCGAGCGUUAAUCGGAAUUACUGGGCGUAAAGCGCAUGCAGGUGGUUUGUUAAGUCAGAUGUGAAAGCCCGGG